CGCACAUUGCGCCCUCUGGUAUUCCGGAGGGCAUGCCUGUUCGAGCGUCAUUUCAACCCUCAAGCCUGGCUUGGUGAUGGGGCGCUGCCUUUGUCCAGAAGGCAGGCCCUGAAAUCUAGUGGCGGGCUCGCCAGGACCCCGAGCGCAGUAGUCACAUCUCGCUCCGGAAGGCCCUGGCGGUGCCCUGCCGUUAAACCCCAACUUCUGAAAAUUUGACCUCGGAUCAGGUAGGAAUACCCGCUGAACUUAA
rnacentral:misc_RNA from 1 species